rnacentral:RNase_P_RNA from 1 species
UCUGCCGGCCGGGCGAUCGCCGCGUUCCCUUCGGGGACGGGGAGGAAAGUCCGGUCUCCGCAGGGCGGCGCGCCGGUUAACGACCGGGGGGCGGUUCUCAAAGGGCCGUUCACGGAAAGUGGCACAGAAAAUGUACCGCCGCGGGCUUCGGUCCGCGGUAAGGGUGAAAAGGUGCGGUAAGAGCGCACCGCGUUCAGGGCGACCUGGAUGGCAGGCCAAACCCCGCGUGGAGCAAGACCAAAUAGGGGGCGAUGCGGCGGCCCGCCGCGCUACGAGUCCCGGGUAGGUUGCUCGAGGCCGUCGGAAACGGCGGCUCUAGACGAAUGAUCGCCGCCGCGGCUUUGGUCGCGGUAACAGAAACCGGCUUACCAGGCCGGCAGACUUC